ACCUCCUUGCUGUUGCAACUCUGAGGACAAUUGCUUCAAAUGGGAAGGAACAACCAGCACUGCCAGCACUAUUUGUACAUGAGGACACCUCCUUGCUGUUGCAACUCUGAGGACAAUUGCUUCAAAUGGGAAGGAACAACCAGCACUGCCAGCGCUAUUUGUCCAUGAAGACACCUCCUUGCUGUUGCAACUCUGAGGACAAUUGCUUCAAAUGGGAAGGAACAACCAGCAGUGCCAGCGCUAUUUGUACAUGAGGACGACGAGAGGGUUCCACUCACCCCCUGUGGGGUGUAUUCUGGCCACAACCUGGAACAGGCAGAGUUUCUCCACCUCUGUGUCGACAAGGAGCGGCUGUUCAUGGUCAAAAAUGCGGAGGAAGGGGUCAUCGCAAUCAUGAGUGCAUUUUUUGUAUUGAACAUAGUAUAUGGGCCUAAAUACUUCAGCACCAGUGCAGUACUGGAACGAUUGUUUUUUGGUUUGAAUGUAAUAAUGCCAAGUGGUUGUUACAAACUUUGUGAACAGAGUUGUGCGGGCAAUGCGACACCGAGGUUCAUGUACGUUACCAUACGAAUGCUAGCCUGACAAUUUUGUGCAAUAGCUUGAGCAAUAGUUUUGUGCAAUUUUUAAUGUAUCAUUUUCUUUCUUUUUGAUCGCGAUCAUAGCAUGAUGCAGUAACUUCUUCCGCUGCUUGUGCCAACCACCU